rnacentral:rRNA from 1 species
CUACGGGUGGCUGCAGUCGAGAAUCUUCCGCAAUGCGCGAAAGCGUGACGGAGCAAUGCCGCGUGCAGGAUGACGGCCUUCGGGUUGUAAACUGCUGUCACUCGGGAUGAAUUUUGACAGUACCGAGAGAGGAAGCCACGGCUAACUACGUGCCAGCAGCCGCGGUAAUACGUAGGUGGCGAGCGUUAUUCGGAUUUAUUGGGCGUUAAGGGUUCGUAGGAGGUAUGGUAAGUCUGAUGUGAAAUCCAGUGGCUCAACCACUGAACUGCAUUGGAUACUGCCAUGCUAGAGUAUCGGAGAGGUAAGCGGAAUUCCUGGUGUAGCGGUGGAAUGCGUAGAUAUCAGGAGGAACACCGAUGGCGAAGGCAGCUUACUGGACGAUAACUGACUCUGAGGAACGAAAGCUAGGGUAGCAAACAGGAUUAGAUACCCGUGUAGUC